rnacentral:lncRNA from 1 species
CUCACCAAGAACUCCUGAACUUGAGAGUGGACGACUUCAAAGCUAGCUCUCACAGACUCACCUGGAAAAGAGUUCAGCUGCGCGUUCAUUGAACCGAGAGGCCAGAUCACCUAUGUGAGGCGGUGGGAACCAUAUGGAGAUUUAUAUUAGAACUUCAGCAAAGUGCACAGCUGCAGCCGGCAGAAGCCAGCUCUCGGGCUGACAGGCAAAUGAACCAGAUCGUGGACGGGGCCUCUGGGUGGCAGCUCCGGCCUUUUGGUUGUUGGACAACUAUAGUCAGAACUGAAAUGGAACAGGGGCAGGAGAAAUAACACACUUUUACUCCACGCAACUGUUGCUUUCACAUGAUCUUCAGGAAUGUAACUGGGAUAAUUGUCCAAAUUGAAUCCCAUACCCUGUCAUGGGAAUCUUGAGGAACCCAUUAAUGUAAAGCUGCGGCCAGAGUUCCAUGAGGAGGCAGAAUGUUCUAGAUGAUCCCUGUCUCUUCUCCAUUGAGGAAGUCGUUUCUUGCCUCUCUGUAAGCUCAGUUAAUCAUACCAGAAUAGGAGUCCUGUCUUAACUGAGCAAUAUACACUAUGGAGAGAUCCUUCAAAACCCGUCGGGACGAAUAACAGAUGAAUUCAUAAAACUGUUCAUCUCUGUUAUCCUGAAUGGUCACUCAGACAACAUUUUACUCAACUAUAAAGGGGAACACUUAAAGUGCAUAUGAGAAGAGAAGAGAAUGACCACAGGAGAAAAUCAUCUCAGGCCACGAUUUCCUAACCAGAAUCUGUAAGAGAGAUUCCAAGAACUUGGGAGAAGCAUAUUGUGUGAUGUUCUAUAUUUAUGAGACCCAUAGCAAACUGUGAAGAGAUAACAGAAUGCUUUUUGCGUGAGCUGAAACAGUAGAUGAAAUCUUUCAUUAAAAUUACUCAUACUUUGGGUCCUAUUCUUAUUUAUAAAUAAAUAUUAUUGCAAACAUU